CUUGCUCCACCGGAAAAAGAAGAGUGGCGAACGGGUGAGUAACACGUGGGUAACCUGCCCAUCAGAAGGGGAUAACACUUGGAAACAGGUGCUAAUACCGUAUAACAAUCGAAACCGCAUGGUUUUGAUUUGAAAGGCGCUUUCGGGUGUCGCUGAUGGAUGGACCCGCGGUGCAUUAGCUAGUUGGUGAGGUAACGGCUCACCAAGGCCACGAUGCAUAGCCGACCUGAGAGGGUGAUCGGCCACAUUGGGACUGAGACACGGCCCAAACUCCUACGGGAGGCAGCAGUAGGGAAUCUUCGGCAAUGGACGAAAGUCUGACCGAGCAACGCCGCGUGAGUGAAGAAGGUUUUCGGAUCGUAAAACUCUGUUGUUAGAGAAGAACAAGGAUGAGAGUAACUGUUCAUCCCUUGACGGUAUCUAACCAGAAAGCCACGGCUAACUACGUGCCAGCAGCCGCGGUAAUACGUAGGUGGCAAGCGUUGUCCGGAUUUAUUGGGCGUAAAGCGAGCGCAGGCGGUUUCUUAAGUCUGAUGUGAAAGCCCCCGGCUCAACCGGGGAGGGUCAUUGGAAACUGGGAGACUUGAGUGCAGAAGAGGAGAGUGGAAUUCCAUGUGUAGCGGUGAAAUGCGUAGAUAUAUGGAGGAACACCAGUGGCGAAGGCGGCUCUCUGGUCUGUAACUGACGCUGAGGCUCGAAAGCGUGGGGAGCAAACAGGAUUAGAUACCCUGGUAGUCCACGCCGUAAACGAUGAGUGCUAAGUGUUUGGAGGGUUUCCGCCCUUCAGUGCUGCAGCUAACGCAUUAAGCACUCCGCCUGGGGAGUACGACCGCAAGGUUGAAACUCAAAGGAAUUGACGGGGGCCCGCACAAGCGGUGGAGCAUGUGGUUUAAUUCGAAGCAACGCGAAGAACCUUACCAGGUCUUGACAUCCUUUGACCACUCUAGAGAUAGAGCUUCCCCUUCGGGGGCAAAGUGACAGGUGGUGCAUGGUUGUCGUCAGCUCGUGUCGUGAGAUGUUGGGUUAAGUCCCGCAACGAGCGCAACCCUUAUUGUUAGUUGCCAUCAUUCAGUUGGGCACUCUAGCAAGACUGCCGGUGACAAACCGGAGGAAGGUGGGGAUGACGUCAAAUCAUCAUGCCCCUUAUGACCUGGGCUACACACGUGCUACAAUGGGAAGUACAACGAGUCGCGAAGUCGCGAGGCUAAGCUAAUCUCUUAAAGCUUCUCUCAGUUCGGAUUGUAGGCUGCAACUCGCCUACAUGAAGCCGGAAUCGCUAGUAAUCGCGGAUCAGCACGCCGCGGUGAAUACGUUCCCGGGCCUUGUACACACCGCCCGUCACACCACGAGAGUUUGUAACACCCGAAGUCGGUGAGGUAACCUUUUGGAGCCAGCCGCCUAAGGUGGGAUAGAUGAU
rnacentral:rRNA from 1 species